rnacentral:rRNA from 1 species
CCUACGGGAGGCUGCAGUGAGGAAUAUUGGUCAAUGGGCGCGAGCCUGAACCAGCCAAGUAGCGUGAAGGAUGACUGCCCUACGGGUUGUAAACUUCUUUUAUAAAGGAAUAAAGUGAGGCACGUGUGCCUUUUUGCAUGUACUUUAUGAAUAAGGAUCGGCUAACUCCGUCCCAGCAGCCGCGGUAAUACGGAGGAUCCGAGCGUUAUCCGGAUUUAUUGGGUUUAAAGGGAGCGUAGGUGGAUUGUUAAGUCAGUUGUGAAAGUUUGCGGCGCAACCCUAAAAUUGCAGUUGAAACUGGGAGUCUUGAGUGCAGUAGAGGUGGGCGGAAUUCGUGGUGUAGCGGUGAAAUGCUUAGAUAUCACGAAGAACUCCGAUUGCGAAGGCAGCUCGCUGGACUGCAACUGACACUGAGGCUCGAAAGUGUGGGUAUCAAACAGGAUUAGAUACCCGGGUAGUC